GAUUGAUACAGAAAAGCAGGUAAAUUUGUUAAGAGAAAUGUAUGAUGCAACGGCUCCAUACAUGACCAAGGAACCAAGAGAGGCUUUUCUCAACUAUAGAGAUCUUGAUAUUGGUAGCAAUCCAAGCAACCAUACAGACUUUAAGACAUCUAAAGUUUAUGGGCUCAAGUAUUUCAAGAACAACUUCUUCAGGUUGACAGAGGUGAAAGCCAGAGUUGACCCCGAUAAUUUCUUCAAUCAUGAACAAAGUAUUCCACCAC
rnacentral:misc_RNA from 1 species